UGGCAUGGAUUAGGCAUGCAAGUCGAGCGAACCCGCAAGGGUUAGCGGCAAAAGGGUGAGUAACACGUAGGUAAUCUUCCCUUAAAACGAGGAUAGCAUUGUGAAAACGGUGGUAAUACUCGAUAACUUCAGUAGUCCGCAUGGACCGCUGAAUAAAGACGGGGACCGUAAGGCCUGUCGUUUAAGGAUGAGCUUGCGUACCAUCAGCUAGUUGGUAGGGUAAUGGCCUACCAAGGCUAAGACGGUUAGCUGGUCUGAGAGGAUGGUCAGCCACACUGGGACUGAGACACUGCCCAGACUCCUACGGGAGGCUGCAGUCGAGGAUAUUUAGCAAUGGGCGAAAGCCUGACUAUGCGACGCCGCGUGCAGGAUGAAGGUCUUCGGAUUGUAAACUGCUUUUGUUAGGGGAGAAACCUGUAUCGUUAAUAGCGCUACAGCUGACAGUACCUGACGAAUAAGCCACGGCAAAGCCUGUGCCAGCAGCCGCGGUAAUACAGGCGUGGCAAGCGUUACUCGGAAUUAUUGGGUGUAAAGGGCAGGUAGGUGGCCUGACAAGUGAGGGGUGAAAUCCUGCGGUUUAAUCGCAGAACAGCCUUUCAAACUAUCAGGCUCGAGAGAGAGGAAGAUGGAAUUCCCGGUGUAAGGGUGAAAUCUGUAGAUAUCGGGAAGAACACCAACGGCGAAGGCAAUCUUCUGGGUCACUUCUGACACUGAGCUGCGAAAGCUAGGGGAGCAAACAGAAUUAGAUACUCUGGUAGUCCUAGCCGUAAACGAUGAAUACUAGGUGUUGGGUCCCUUUGGGGCUCGGUGCCGAAGCUAACGCAUUAAGUAUUCCACCUGGGGACUACGAUCGCAAGGUUAAAACUCAAAGGAAUUGACGGGGGCUCACACAAGCGGUGGAA
rnacentral:rRNA from 1 species